rnacentral:lncRNA from 1 species
AUGUUGUCACAGCUGAGGUCAUACAAUGAUGCUUACAGCGUUCUGUCUUGUGAGAGGGAAGUGGCUUCUCUUCACAGAUAGUUUAAAUACUUGGCCUGCUUACAUAGGCUUUCAUCUGGCAGAUUGUGGUUCAUGUGCUGAACAGCAACAGCGAUUGUUGAGGUCGAAGUACUGCACCUCUCUCACAUUUCCAGAGUACCUGGCAGGAGAAAACUUCUCCGUUUCUCAUCAGAGUACAUCAAAUACAGCACUCCUUCUGGUCAUUUGUCUUGACCUGUAAAUCUACUGCAAACAAUAAGAUAGGAAGAGAACUGCCAUCGGUAAGUGCUUCUUAAAACAAAAGCUAUAUGUCAAUCAUUUGCUACCAGGGAAUCGAACAAAAUUUUUAUUUUUUUUUUCUAGUGCCGCUAUAGUGAGAAUUCAAGUCAUAAAACUGAUAAAGCUGUCAUUUCACUAUGAAAUGCUUCUGGCUGGAGUUGUGUUUGAAACAUGGUUCAUUAGCAUAUAGCAUAUAUGUUGUAAUACCACAUCUUUCAUAUGCUCACAUUUUCUAGCUAUUGAAUAACCAAGUACAGUAGUUAAUGUCCCAAUUAGCUGAAGGCAAGCUGCUGGCUGGGUUUGUUGUGUUGACAUCACAACACAAAUCCUUUUCCAGGUGUCAUUGUCCUCACAACUGUAUCGCUAAGAACUGGGAUGGCCUGAGGCCAAACGCAUGUCCAGUAAAAGAAACUCUUAGACAUUCAAAUCUGAGAUACGCAGAGGCAGAAAUUAAACCAGAAUAUGUAAUAAGAGAGGUCUGUAAAGCUGAACCCACCUGAACAGUGCUCAAUUUUGUCCCUGUUUAAAGCUAUUGAUAUUUUAAAAUACAACGACGAGUGAGUAAAAAUGUGGUGACACCCUGGUAACAUCCACAUUGUGUGUGUCAAAGAUGCUGUAGAAAAGACAGGUAACUUCAUAAAGCUUAAAGACUAUAAAAGAAUGAACCUAGUGAAAAGAAGCAUGAUGACAUUCAGAAAGCUUGGCUGAAUCUCCUUUCAGCAUGUGACUCAGGAUUAUAAAGCUAUUCAGCCUCUUAGAUAGGUUUUGGAAAGAGGGGUCCUCUGCAGAGAGCAAUCAGCAAAUGCUGUGUUUCAUUUUCGGACUCUUUGUCCAUGUAUCCCAAGAUACGCAGUUUUGAGUUGGCAAACCUGAUCCAAAAGUCUGUUUUUCCUAUGCAUUUUAUUUAUAGCAUAUCAGAAUAAUCCCUAAUCUUUUGUUACAAUAUUAUGGUGUAUACUAAUGGUAUACUAAUAUUAUUACUGUAUACUAAUGUAUACUCAUAUUAUUAGAUUAUAGCAUUUAAGUUUGAGAAGAAAGCUACAAUAGCAUUGCUUCAAAAGAGUUUAGCUCUCCUUUGCCAUUCUGCAGAAUAGUCCCUGCCUCUCAUUAUUAAUGGUGUUUGUUACAAUAAAUUAGAGAGAAAACGAAAGAUCA